UCUCUCUCUCUCUCUCUCUUUCUCUCUGCGCGCCCAAAAACCAUUGUUGCCUGGUUUUUCAAGCUGGGAUGCUACUCCACCAUUGCUGUCGGUAUCUGCAAGAUGCAUUCUCUCUCUCUCUCUCUCCCCGUCAGGCACCCCCAUUUUCGGAUAGAUCUUCUCCAAUGCGAUAUUGUUUUUUCCAUAUUCGAUCGUCGUUCGCUCGCUCCUCUAUCAGUCGGAAGUCCAGAAGAUCGAGUCGCCUGCAGUAGUGACCUCUUCCCUAGCCGCCGAUGGUUCCCUCUUCCCUCGCUACUGGUGGUUCCCUCUCCCGACGCUGCCGGUCGUUCCCGCUGUUCCAGUUUUUAUAGAUUUUGUUGUUUAUUUCUUUGCUUCCUUCAUGGCUGCCCAAAUUGCCAGAUGCGUCCUGCAAAGCCGUUCCAGCCAGAUCUUGUUUGGUCCAUCGGCUAGGGUUUUCUCGUGCUUCGAUCACAGCCUAUCCUCCGCCAUCGAUCCCAUCCGCGCCACUCUCUUCCCCGGCGACAACAUCGAUCUCGAGAUCGCCGAGUCUGUCAAACAGGGCUUUUAUAGUUGUUGUGUGGACAACAACGUGUGACAUUGGUUUCUGUAAACACAACAGAGAACGACCUGACAUUGGUGCCGUCGUCAGUUGCUUCCCAUUCUAGAAUCACCAACAAUCCAAAAGAACGGCAUCGGCAUCCCGUCAACCGCUUCCUAUUCUUGAAUAGCUGACGAACCAAAAGAAUGACACCGGCACUACUUCAAAUCUUCAAAUGGCUAUAUAAUGUUGUUACAUCAGUCUCUACAUUGGUUUCAACCAUUCCCAUUGUGUACAUUGCCUUGAGUUUAGUCUGGAUUUAUAAUGUUGUUACACCAGUAUUUAUAUUGUGUAUGGCUAUAUGCUUAGAUGAGAUGUAUAAACUUGUAAAGUACAUUGAUUGGUUGUUACUUUUUAUCUAUAUUUUUUUAGUCAUUUACUCUAUUAUAGAAAGUGUAUAUUUGAGAGAUUAAGCAAAUGAAUAAAGGUUAGAACAUUUGAAUG